rnacentral:rRNA from 1 species
GCCUGGGGACUACGGUCGCAAGACUAAAACUCAAAGGAAUUGACGGGGACCCGCACAAGCGGUGGAGCAUGUGGUUUAAUUCGAUGCAACGCGAAAAACCUUACCACUCCUUGACAUGGAGAUUAGAUCCUUCUUAACGGAAGGGCGCAGUUCGGCUGGAUCUCGCACAGGUGCUGCAUGGCUGUCGUCAGCUCGUGUCGUGAGAUGUUGGGUUAAGUCCCGCAACGAGCGUAACCCUCAUCCUUAGUUGCCAGCGGGUAAUGCCGGGCACUUUAAGGAAACUGCCGGUGGUAAACUGGAGGAAGGUGGGGAUGAUGUCAAGUCAGCACGGCCCUUAUGGGGUGGGCUACACACGUGCUACAAUGGUGACUACAAUAGGUUGCAAUGUCGCAAGGCUGAGCUAAUCCGUAAAAGUCAUCUCAGUUCGGAUUGUCCUCUGCAACUCGAGGGCAUGAAGUCGGAAUCGCUAGUAAUCGUGGAUCAGCAUGCCACGGUGAAUACGUUCUCGGGUCUUGUACACACUGCCCGUCACGCCAUGGGAAUUGGCUUAACUCGAAGCUGGUGCGCUAACCGAA